rnacentral:lncRNA from 1 species
CUGGCCCGACUUGGACCCAGCCAGCGCCCAGCCUCCACCCCGGUCAGUCGCCACUGUCUCUCCUUUUUUCCCUCUCUGUUUGGCUCCGUGUACAAGUCGCUCACCGGAGCAAUGGAUUUCGUUUGCCUAAGUCUACCGGAGGACAUCCAUGGCGAUCUCCAGGGCUUAGCCAGGAAAUAUGCGGAAGCACCCAGCCCCCAGGUUCGGCUCUCCGUGGUAGAACUGGCCAUCGAGAUACUGGAGGACGAAUACUGGUGGCGUGAGUACCCCGGAGUGCAAGCGUAUUUUGAUGGACUCCGACUAACGCGGAGGGACUUGACACGCGCUCUGCGCGUAUCGCCUGGCCGCGCCUCCGUUGCCGCUCCGGCGGUUCCCGUUCCUGUCGCCGCUCCGGCGGUUCCCGUUCCUGUCGCCGCUCCGGCGGUUUCCGUUUCCGUUGCCGCGCCGGCGGCUCCAGUCCAAGCCCCAGACGCCGCCGACUCGGUUCGCCACGCGGACCCCGGUACAGAGAUCCGGCCCCCGCCGCUCCCAGCAUCUCAAACGACGGACAGUCGCAGCCGCUCCGGACGACGUCGGCGACGGCGCAGUUCCAGAACCCCGGGUCCCGAGACCCCGGUCAUGGGGACCGAGCAGCCCUCUUCUCCGGCAGAGGAGCCCCUGGAUUCUCCGACUGACUGUGUCCCUCUGAUAGCAGGUAUCCCAGACAGCGUCGCCCGACGGGUCCACCUCCACUGUUCUCCCCCGGUUACGUUCCUCUUCGCUCAUCUGAUGGACACGGCUGAUUCAGCAGCAGACCCGGGCACAAGGGACCAACUGUUUGAGGAGGCAGCUGCCCUCAUUCGGAGGGAACCUGCCCUGCGUGCGGCUCUGCAACUCCCAGGUCUGCAACCAGCAGUCACGCCUGAUCCCCCGUCUCAGUCAGGUCAGUCAAGCCACGCUCAGUCUCCAGCCCUAGUUCAGCCAUGCUCUGUUCAGACUCCAGUCGCAGUUCAGUCGUCCCCCGUUCAGGUUCCAGCUCAGCCUUGCCAUGCUCAGGUCUCAGCUCAGUCACGCGCUGUUCAGUCUCCAGUCCAGCCGCGCUCUGCUCAGUCUCCAGUCCAGCCGCGCGCGCUGCUCAGUCUCCAGUCCAGCCGCGCGCUGCUCAGUCUCCAGUCCAGCCGCGCGCUGCACAGUCUCCAGUCCAGCCGCGCGCUGCUCAGUCUCCAGUCGAGCCCAGUUCAGUCUCCAGUCCAGUCGAGCCCAGUUCAGUCUCCAGUCCAGUCGAGCCCAGUUCAGUCUCCAGUCCAGUCGAGCCCAGUUCAGUCUCCAGUUCAGUCGAGUCCUGCCCCGGCCCCAGUUCAUUCGAGUCCUGCCCCGGCCCCAGUUCAGUCGAGUCCUGCCCCGGCCCCAGUUCAGUCGAGUCCUGCCCCGGCCCCAGUUCAGUCGAGUCCUGCCCCGGUUCUAGCACAGUCGAGCCCUGCCUCCGUUCAGUCCAGUCACGUUCCUGUCCCAGUUCAGUCCAGUCACAUUCCUGUCCCAGUUCAGUCCAGUCACGUUCCUGUCCCAGUUCAGUCCAGUCACGCGCAGGUCUUGUCCCAGCCAGAGGGCACCACCUGUCGGACAGGUGCUAUGCACACCCGAUCAGGC